GGGCCAUAGUUCAGUGGGAGAGCACCUGCUGGGCAUGCAGAAGGUCCUAGGUUCAACCCCCAGAAUCUCCA